ensembl:lncRNA
AGCAUUUUUUCUGUCCUCAGAUCGUGUGUUAUAUCUACUUCACGCGGAUCAUCGCGAUACUGCUGGAGUUGACGGUGCCGUUCCAGUGGCAGUGGUGUCAGGAGUUUUUAGUGGAGGUUUCUACUCUGAUCUUCUUC